UAUGUUAUAUUUAUUUGUUGACUCUA
rnacentral:miRNA from 1 species